rnacentral:rRNA from 1 species
AGUGAACGCUGGCGGUAGGCCUAACACAUGCAAGUCGAACGGCAGCACAGUAAGAGCUUGCUCUUACGGGUGGCGAGUGGCGGACGGGUGAGGAAUACAUCGGAAUCUACUUUUUCGUGGGGGAUAACGUAGGGAAACUUACGCUAAUACCGCAUACGACCUACGGGUGAAAGCAGGGGCUCUUCGGACCUUUCGCGAUUGAAUGAGCCGAUGUCGGAUUAGCUAGUUGGCGGGGAAAAGGCCCACCAAGGCGACGAUCCGUAGCGGGACUGAGGGGAUGUAGAGCCAAACAGGACGUAAAAAACGUUCCAAACCCUACGGGGAGGCAGCAGGGGGAAAAGUAGAGCAAGGGGCGAAGGCCUGACCAAGCAAGACCGGGAGGGUAAGGAAGGCCUCGGGUUGUAAAGCCCUUUUGUUGGGAAAGAAAAGCAGCAGGUUAAUACCCCGCUGUUCUGACGGUACCCAAAGAAUAAGCACCGGCUAACUUCGUG